CGACGAGGCACGAGAAAGGAAAGUCCCCGGCUCGUUUACUUUUCGUACCCCGCUCGGAGAUUAACGCCAUUCCUAGCGCAGCAGCGGCACUGGAAGGUCGUCUGCAAUCGCGGCUUCCUCCCUUUCGGACCUUGCACAGAAAGUGACGCUGACGGCUCCAAGCGCGGCUGGCCUCGUUUCUUAAAACCAUUCACCUGCACGCAGACCUGGCCCGCGUUCGUGAAGAUGCCGUCUCGCCGAAGUACGCGUUAGCACAACUAGCACCAGCUGUGCCGCACCUUCCUCCCCCGCCCCGGGGCCGCACGCCCUGCCGGCAGCUCCCAGCCCCGUGCUGCUGCUGGGCUGAGAGCCCGGAGAUGGAAGAGAGCUUUCCUAAGGGUCCAGUCCUAGGCUGGAAUCCUUCUUUCCGCCUUCUCUGAGAAACCGCAGAAAGGAGACGUACUGAUAAGCACGGAGACGGCGGGCGGUGCGAGAACGGGACGGGCAGGAGGGCACGAAACGACCGCGGGCAGCGCUCAACGCCUUCCAGCUGCAGCCCCCCGAACCCAGGGUAGGGCUGGUUUUGCUCGAUUAUACCGGGGCUCCAGCAGCAAACCGAAGCAAUAAAUAAAUCCAAGCCUAUAACAGCUGGUGGCUGAAGAAGGGUAAUUAGGGACUGAAAGCUACUGGAAUCAAAUUAGAGACUGUCCUGGAAAACAGGGAUGGUCGGAGCCAAAAGAACGAAAGGGAGGCGGAGCACAAGGGAGUUUCCUGUAAUUCCCAGAACAGGCACCUUAGCAGAAGAGGGCCUUUUCAUCCUAGCUUUGCAGUCCCUGAGAAUUCUAAAACACACUUCCAGCAUCAGUGCAAUUAACGCAUCAAUUAAUACAAAUCUCACCAGAUAAACAUGAAAAAAUGACAUUUAACACAGGUAGGAACGUGUCAGACAUUUAAUCCUCAUUGCAGCUCUCCUAUUGCAGCCCUGGUCAGGGUCCCAGCUGAACACCGGAGCCAAGGUUGGGCAGGUGAGGGGCAGAAGACAGCAGAGCUGCAUUACCCAGCCCUGGGCAGUUUGGUUCAGCGUUACAAAGGCUGACAAAAGCAAUAAAGUAUUUGCCGUCGUGGGCAGAAAAUAAGUCCAUCUUAAAGACAGAGAACUCAUGCAACUGGUAGCAGCCCUCAAUAAAAUACUUAGAAGUCAAAGCAAAGCAGAAGGAAUGCAUUUUGUCCCAGUGCCCUGUACUUGCACAGCUCUCCCCCUCCUCCUCGCCCAGCUAUUCUUCAGCUAACUAACAGAGCUCCACUAUUGUUGAGGCCAUGCUGGCACAGAAAAGCACCAUUCAAUUUAGGCAUGUAUGUGGACAUGUGCCAGACCUCCUUACACUGUCAAAGAAAAAACCUUACAAAGUCUAUAUCCAUAGGGCGUUGUGGCAACCACGUGUGAAUGCAGAACGAUGAAACCAAAAACCUUCCUGGGCAGACUUGCCAAUUCUCUCACACUGCAAACCCCCCGGUACAUCUGCAAGCCUGCAAGAUUAGCACUGCUGAAGUCUGAAGUCCCACCUUCCAGAGUUGAGAACAAUAACUUCCUCUCCACUGUGUAGUAGAUGCUGGGAGGCCAUCUGGGUAUAAGGUUAGAAACAGAGAUGAAGCCUUCAUCAGGGAGGAGGCAGCAUUCAGGGCGAGGCGGCUUCCACGCAUCAGUGCUAAAGAGAAGGUCUAAAGCAUCACAGAGCUGAAGACCAAAAUGACAAAGAAGCCACAGCCACACUCUGCAGCGGGCAACGUUAGGUACUUCAGUGAGUUCAAAGCAUUGUCACUUGGAAACAAACAGCUUCCAUCUUGCUACAUCUAAUAUCAGUCAAGUCCAUUUCAUCCAAGUUGUCAUAUGACAGGAUGAGAACAAGGGCAGUCUGGCAACAGCAUUGCUUGCAUUAGAAGUAAAGGACAAAGGAAGCCUCAUGUCACCACAUAUAGGUUGCAGUCGAAUGAAUGCCCUAUGUUUCUGCCUAGCAGCUUCACUUAGAUAAGAAUCAACUACAUCUUACAGGAUUAAAAAUAGAAAAAAUAACUUCCCGUUUUAAGAAAAAAAUUAAGAUAGCAUUACAUUUAUAAAGGAAUGACAACAGCGAGGAAAAAAUCAGAUUUAAGGUUGGGGCUGUGGCCAUAAUUCCAUAUUGUAGUUAUUGGAAAGGAAAACAAAGGCACUGCAAAGCAUGAAAACCCAGCACUGCUCAUCUUUCAUUCCUGAGAUUUUUUUAUUCCUCCCCUCCCUGCCCUCAGAUUUUCCAGAUGAUUUGUGCCACAUUUCGAGCUGAACAUUACAGUCACUUGCUCAGAAGAUCAACAUACAGCAUUCUCUCAUUCAGAGGGGAAAAAGACUGGUUUCUCAUUAAUGUACAGGACUGAUAGAUGCCUAUGCAAUCAACUCAUUUUUAUGAUCCUUUUCAAACUAAUUACUGUCUUCCUCAAACCAAAACCUGAACAUGCUUGGGUUCUUCUUUCCUGAAGAGAGAAGCAAGGUCUUUGUGUAUGGCAUUUUGUUCCAGAGAAGCAUUCUUAUACUUGAAAUACUUGCAUAUAGAGAAUAAGACUGCAAGAAGAAAAAAGAGCCAAUCAAGCUGCUUCAGAAACAAGGAGAGUGGAGCUCUUCUCAGUCUUUUAACUACAGAACUCUAAAAACCUUCCCCCACCAGCAGCGAAAGGCACACGCUGCUUCAGUGCCUAAAGUGAGCUCAGGCAGUAACCUAUAGUACUCCCAGUCACCACAACUAUGGCUCAAAAAAUAACCUCUUCAGCUAGUAAUUUGAUAGCUUAGAAACGGGAAGCAGCUUUUAUAUACGCAUAUACACACACACCUCAAGCAUAAACUCUGACAUUCACUUGGAGGAAGGCUAUCAUUACAGCUGGCGCUCAGCCCCGGGCCGCCCAUGGCCACCGCUGGCCGUUCUGCUCUCAGUCACUCCGAUGACUUCAGUGAGCGAAUCCACGGCCACGACGAAGAAAGCAAAGGAAGCAAAGGAAGCAAGAGCCUCACAGAGCCAUGAGCAGCACGGCCUGAAGUAAUGAAAGGCUCAGCCUUUACCAGCAACGUUGCAAUCCAACUGCCACUCUUUUUCUGAGUAAAUUCUCAGGAGUAUAUAGAUACCCACAGCAGCAGAAAUGGAAUUGAAGAAAACUUUUGGUUUUAAAAGCCUUUGGGUCCAAAACCACCACUUUGCUUACACACUACUCCUAUGGUUUGUGCAAAGCACGGCAGCUGCAGCAUGGGGAUCUGCGAGGGAACGGCGCCCAGGGACCAACAGCCUUCUGUUGCCUGAUGGGGAUGAGGGCACGUGCACAGAUCACAGCCCGUGCUGACAGCAAAGUCUCGUCAAAGAACUGACAGAGGGUACAGAAAGGUUCUGUGAGGAUUUGGAAUACACUGCCUGAUCUUGCAAGUCUCACACAUCGUGCAGAGAAUAGGUGCAUGCUGCAAGCUGGAUUCCUUGUCAAUGUGUUUCUCUUAUCUGUAGUUCUAGAAGAAAACAUUUCUACUGGCAGAGAAAUGAAGCUAUGGAAAAUCAUGAAACUGAAUUUGUCAUUCAAAUAAAAUAAUUUUAAAUUAAUGGUGGCAAUAUUCUAAGCCAAAAAAGGUUAACAGAUGCAGCAAAUUAUUCUCACUUUCACACAUCUUGGUUAACAAAGUAAUACCCUUGCCUUUCAAUUGCUUCCAAAACAUCAUUCAAUAAAAAAGUCCCCUAUAACAAAGGAAGUUGAGCCUUUCCAAGUCCAAUGAAACCACAAAAAUAUUUCUGAAGCCAUCAGGGAAAAUGCGGCCAUUGCUUUUUACAAUUCAACUGCUCUCCUGCUGACAGACAUCAGAUGGCCCUUUGGAAUUCAGCAGAGCAUGCACUUCAGAGAAGCGAAGCAGGGAGGUGAGGUACUGCUGAUGAUGAAGAUGAGAUACUCUGCAAAAGCAUCUUGGUGCUAAUAGGUGCAUUCCCAGCCUGUCUAUGUGAACGUAUCAAAUGGCCUUACAUGAAGACUGAAGAACAACCUAAAGAGAGAAGCUACAGCGAAAAACAGGAAAACCAGGAAGUGCAAAUUCUGACAGAUUACCACUCGAUUCCAUCUUUCAGAGGCUCUCAAACGCUGCACACCACGACGUCUGCCGCACCAACCCUGUUCUUGUUUAGCUUUUUGCUCUCACAUUCUUCCUGCAAAACUGGAAGCAGGUUCUAUGAUUCCUCUUGGAUUCCUCUUGGCUAAUCCCAGGCAGAAAGGCAAACAGCAGGAGCUCCUCAAGCUCACAGGGUUGUAAUAAGCCACGCUGUCACUUUGGAAACUGCAUUUGAGGCAUCUGCAGUAAUACUCCAGCUGAAUUCCUGUAAGAUGCAUGCUGGCUCAGCAGCACUGCCCUACGCCACCAGCAGUUCUUUGCCCACGAAUUCCCUGCACCCAGGUCCCACUACUACUGAGCUAUCAGCAGAUGAUCCCAACUCUCCUGUAAACCUGGAGGUGCUCCUUUCGUACAGAUGAGACAAUGGUCAGAAAAAAGGAGGCAAAAGCUCCAGCCUCCGAGCUCAACUCAGCAGUAUCAUUCCCAACACAGUGGAAGCCAGAGGUAGGAUCACACCUCAUGCAUGGAGAGCAUCACAUUCCUCUAAAAACAGCUGAGUAACAGCUUCUGGCUCCUCUUCAUGCUGGGAUUCAUUGGGACUCAUUGGGACAGCAGUUACCUCUCAGCCCACACCAAGUUCUCUUGCAGAGCUGCAGACUCAUUCUCCCAUGGGAAUCGUGUUCCCAAGUCCCCACCCCCUGCAUCCUUUGAAUAGUUGCAGAUACACAGAAUCUGAAACCUGACCCUGGUCGUUCCUAGCCAUUCACUGAGACUACUCUAACUGUGCUGAAUUUGCAAACCAAACUAAUGGCACAGCUACUGUGUGUGCUCCACAGGGAAAAAGAAGAUGGGAGCUUAAUUACAAAGGUGGGGAGCUGAGAGCAGUGGCACCAGCAUGGGGAAUGGGAAAUAGCACUGCAGUGCCAGGGAGCUGUCAUGAACCUACAGCUUUGUUGUCUGUACUCAGCCUUACUUGUAAGGCAAAUAGUGCACGCCUUUCUCUGUGUUGUCAGUCCCCUAUAAUUGCCCAAAUGUGUUAUAUAACAAAGGAAAAAAUGCUCUAGAGCCAAGAAGUACCACAAACCAAGCAAUUAAAUAGAAUUUUGCACACUAAGCAGGGAUGAAACUGCAUUCUGUAUGAAGUAGGGAGAGAGAAGAAAGGAAGCUGAGGCUCGGUGCAGCUCACAAUCCUUUUUCUUCUUCUCUGCAGAUGUUCAAACAUAUUCAACACUAAUGCACCCAUGUUCUUACUGCAGUAUACUGGAAAUGCUUUCUAAAUUCUAACAGUACACACAAUGCCAUGCGAAAGAAUCUUAAGUGUAAUGAAACACAGAAAAGUUACUGUCGGGCCCGAACUCUAGCUUAGAAAAGUUAACGUGAAGGUAUUUCCUUAGAAGCACAAUUUGACCUAACCUGGUGUAUGUGUUUAUGUAUGUACACACACUCAGUUCUCAUCAUGAGCUUCCAUCUUUUACGUGAAACUGACUCUCAAUUCACAAAUCACUGUGGGCAGAAGUCACAGAUACCUCUGAUUGACAUAAGAACUGAAGAACAUCAGUGCUUAAUUACGGCCACAAAGUACCUCUCUGAGUAGCAAUGGGGAAAGUCUUUGAAUGCAAACAUUUCUGUUCAGCUCCCCAGCUUUGACAGCUUUUCUACAACCCAUGAAGCCAUGCCAAUUUAAACCAACUCAGGAGCUCUGUGUUUAAUAAGUUUCUUGUGUCUGAUGCUUUGUUAGAAAGACAAUAUUCUUUAUUAUUAGAAAGUUAUGGUCUGUAUGGUUAGCCAUCCAGUGAUAACAUCCCAGCUUCGAGCAUUCAGCCUCCAAUAGUACAUGCCCUACACUCACUUUCAUAUCUUCUCCCCCUCCAACUUCAGUUCCAACUGUGAAGAGCAGCAGAAGGCUGACUUGAAAAGAAGCAAAAUAGAACCAGGAGGAUUAGAGCAAAUGCCUCACACAUGAAGAGUAUUAAAAUUUACCA